GACAGAGGGUGCAAACGUUGUUCGGAAUUACUGGGCGUAAAGCGUGUGUAGGCGGCCACGUAAGUCGGAUGUGAAAGCCCCGGGCUCAACCCGGGAAGUGCACUCGAUACUGCGUGGCUUGAGUACUGGAGAGGUUGGUGGAAUUCUCGGUGUAGAGGUGAAAUUCGUAGAUAUUCGGAAGAACACCAGUGGCGAAGGCGGCAUACUGGCCCAUUACUGACGCUGAAGCUCGAAAGCGUGGGGAGCAAACAGG
rnacentral:rRNA from 1 species